rnacentral:lncRNA from 10 species
AAAACCUUUCAUACACUGUCUACCAUUUAAUCUUAGGCAAUCAGUCAUAUUGCUUUGUAGUCAGACCUUAGUAUUUAUUCUUUGAAAGAUUAUGGCUUUCUGUCCCAUUAAAAAAACAAGAGGUCAGCUUCACAGCCAUAUGAAGGCAGAAAAAAAAGUGUGAGCAUUUUUCUUAAUGUGAUCUAAGAACAAAUAUGAGACUUGAGCCAACUUGAGACAAGCUUUAAAGAAUCAACAUGACUAUCUCAGGCAUGAGAUAGUGUUUAAUAAUCAGUGAGUCAGAUGGGGCAGGAGAAAGGCAAGGUGUACAGGUACACAAACAGCCUGGGUCAGUAGCCCCCCAGAGGUGAUAUGCCUCAUUCAUUUGUGAGACUUAUUGUGAAGAGAUCAAGAAGUUGGAGAGGGUUGUUUACAGACACAUUUUGAAAACCAUCUUUCUGGAAUAAGGCACAUGUAACUUUAAUUUUUGAUUAAUACCCUCACCAAAGAAGAGAGAGGAGGACCAGGCCAUGGGAGAAGUGCCUGAAGACAGGAGAUCUUUGUGUGUGGGGUGUGCGUGUGUUGAAGUAUGUAGCUGCAGGAGGAACUUUCAGGGCAAAGAGUGGAGAAACUGCCAUUCUAAGUAGUUUUCUGAAUUAUCAGUUUAUACUACUGUCUUCACAUUUUUUAAUAAAAGCAUUUUAAAAGAUACUUCACCUGCCCCCAGUAGUAAUAAUACUCUAAUGAAACUUUUGGAAAUGCUUAUUUUUAAUGGUAGAUUAAAAAUAGCCACCGGGCGCGGUGGCUCACGCCUG